rnacentral:rRNA from 1 species
AAUGAACGCUGGCGGCAGGCCUAACACAUGCAAGUCGAACGGAUCCUUCGGGAUUAGUGGCGGACGGGUGAGUAACGCGUGGGAACAUACCCAGAGGUACGGAAUAGCCUCGGGAAACUGGGAGUAAUACCGUAUGUGCUCGAAAGAGGAAAGAUUUAUCGCCUUUGGAUUGGCCCGCGUUGGAUUAGGUAGUUGGUGGGGUAAUGGCCUACCAAGCCGACGAUCCAUAGCUGGUUUGAGAGGAUGAUCAGCCACACUGGGACUGAGACACGGCCCAGAAUCCUACGGGAGGCAGCAGUGGGGAAUCUUAGACAGUGGGGGAAACCUUGAUCUAGCCAUGCCGCGUGAUCGAUGAAGGCCUUAGGGUUGUAAAGAUCUUUCAGGUGGGAAGAUAAUGACUGUACCACCAGAAGAAGCCCCGGCUAACUCCGUGCCAGCCGCCGCCGUAA